GAUGAACGCUGGCGGCGUGCCUAAUACAUGCAAGUCGAGCGAACGGACGAGAAGCUUGCUUCUCUGAUGUUAGCGGCGGACGGGUGUGUAACACGUGGAUAACCUACCUAUAAGACUGGGAUAACUUCGGGAAACCGGAGCUAAUACCGGAUAAUAUUUUGAACCGCAUGGUUCAAAAGUGAAAGACGGUCUUGCUGGCACUUAUAGAUGGAUCCGCGCUGCAUUAGCUAGUUGUUAAGGUAACGGCUUACCAAGGCAACGAUGCAUAGACGACCUGAGAGGGUGAUAGGCCACACUGGAACUGAGCCACGGUCCAGACUCCUACGGGAGGCAGCAGUAUGGAAUCGGCCGCAAUGGGCGAGAGCCUUACGGAGCAACGCCGCGUGAGAGAUGAAGGUCUUCGGAUCGUAAAACUGUCUUAUUAGGGAAGAACAUAUGUGUAAGUAACUGUGCACAUCUUGACGGUACCUAAUCAGAAAGCCACGGCUAACUACGUG
rnacentral:rRNA from 1 species